GCUUUCGCACCUCAGUGUCAGUAUCAGUCCAGGUGGUCGCCUUCGCCACUGGUGUUCCUUCCUAUAUCUACGCAUUUCACCGCUACACAGGAAAUUCCACCACCCUCUACCAUACUCUAGCUUGUCAGUUUUGAAUGCAGUUCCCAGGUUGAGCCCGGGGCUUUCACAUCCAACUUAACAAACCACCUACGCGCGCUUUACGCCCAGUAAUUCCGAUUAACGCUUGCACCCUCUGUAUUACCGCGGCUGCUGGCACAGAGUUAGCCGGUGCUUAUUCUGUCGGUAACGUCAAAAUUGCAGAGUAUUAAUCUACAACCCUUCCUCCCAACUUAAAGUGCUUUACAAUCCGAAGACCUUCUUCACACACGCGGCAUGGCUGGAUCAGGCUUUCGCCCAUUGUCCAAUAUUCCCCACUGCUGCCUCCCGUAGGAGUCUGGACCGUGUCUCAGUUCCAGUGUGACUGAUCAUCCUCUCAGACCAGUUACGGAUCGUCGCCUUGGUGAGCCAUUACCUCACCAACUAGCUAAUCCGACCUAGGCUCAUCUGAUAGCGCAAGGCCCGAAGGUCCCCUGCUUUCUCCCGUAGGACGUAUGCGGUAUUAGCGUUCCUUUCGAAACGUUGUCCCCCACUACCAGGCAGAUUCCUAGGCAUUACUCACCCGUCCGCCGCUGAAUUCAGGAGCAAGCUCCUGUCAUCCGCUCGACUUGCAUGUGUUAGGCCUGCCGCCAGCGUUCAAU
rnacentral:rRNA from 1 species